rnacentral:rRNA from 1 species
GGGAGUGAAAUAGAACCUGAAACCCUGCACUUACAAGCUGUGGAAGCACAUUUCUUGUGUGACCGCGUACUUUUUGUAGAACGGGCCAACGAGUUACGUUAAGGAGGAAGGUAAGGCACUUAAGGUGCGGAGCCGUAGCGAAAGCGAGUUUUAACUGAGCGUUCAGUUACUUGACGUAGACCCGAAACCGGGCGACCUACCCAGGAGCGGGAUGAAGCGAAAGUAAAAGUUCUUGGAGGUCCGAACCCACGAGCGUUGAAAAGCUGGGGGAUGACUUGUGGGUAGCGGUGAAAUUCCAAUCGAGCCCGGAGAUAGCUGGUUCUCCCCGAAAUAGCUUUAGGGCUAGCCUCAAGGUGAGAGAUACGGAGGUAGAGCACUGAAUGUCCUAGGGGGUAUUGCACCUA